UACGGAGGGUGCGAGCGUUGUUCGGAUUUACUGGGCGUAAAGGGCGCGUAGGCGGCCAGCACAAGUCAGUUGUGAAAUCUCCGGGCUUAACUCGGAAAGGUCAACUGAUACUGUGCGACUAGAGUGCAGAAGGGGCAACUGGAAUUCUCGGUGUAGCGGUGAAAUGCGUAGAUAUCGAGAGGAACACCUGCGGCGAAGGCGGGUUGCUGGGCUGACACUGACGCUGAUGCGCGAAAGCCAGGGGAGCGAACGGG
rnacentral:rRNA from 1 species